rnacentral:lncRNA from 1 species
GAGCGAGGUGCGGAGGUGAUUGACAUGCCAGGAGGGGCAGCCGCUUCUGGAAAGGGCCAGAGAGCAACUGCUUUAGGCUUCCUGGCCCAUUUGUUCUCUUUUAUAUUCUUUUGUGUGUCUUUUUAUAUCUCUUUCAAAAGGCAAAGUCGUUCUUAGCUUAUGGGCUACACAGAACAGGCAGCAGACCUGACUUGGGCCGUGGCUGCAGUAUGCCUGCCCUGGGCCAGAUUCUGAAGCAGGUUUGCAGAAGGACAGUGGACACAUCCCGUGGGCCCUGUCAUGGCAGAGGGCUUCUGCUGAGCCUUUCACACUGGCGUUGUAAAGCCAGACUGGGCCAUCCAUCAGUCACGCAGCGCCAGAAGCCAGGCUGCGUUUGCUGUGCCCCAGUAGCACAGUGGAGCUGAAUCGGCAGCCACAGGGGGCGUCUGCUUCCCCUCCCCCCGCAGCUGCUGACAAUGUGCUUCCGUUCCCAGAGCCUUCCUCCCACUGCCACACACCGGCGGCGUCUCAGGACCUUGUGGUGGUCCUGGUCCUCCUCACAGGGCAGGGGGCUUCCCUCUGGUCCUUCCUGUCAUUUCAGCUCUUCAGAUCUUGGAGUGAGUGCUUUGUGGGGAUCCUGCCUACACCUGUUAUCUAAUCCAAAGUACACUCAGGAAUUGGAAGUGAUUGCAGUUCUAGGUCGGGACACUUCACUUCUCAUGGCCAGCCAUGGGCCGUUCUCAAGGUGACCAGGAUUCCCUGAAGAUUGAGGGGUUUCAGUCUUAUGUGGGGACAGGUGAGAGUGGAGCACUGUGCUUUGCAGUCACUUGGCCGAGCCCUGUGUCCCAGUCCUGCGUUUCCCUGUGCUGAGACAGCCUGGCUGCUUCUCUUUUGCUCCUUUAGCCUCUGCCACAGACGCGUCCAGGCUUGGCUAUGCUGAUUGCUCCUCUUGCUUGCACCUGUCUAUCUUUGACACCUCCCUCCCCACUGGGAGCAGGGUCCCUGUUAUCAGGAAGCCACCUCCUGCUGCCUCAGACAUCAGAGCUUUUCAGAAGUGUUGCUGCUCCUGGCACUACUGCCAGGGGAAAGGAUAGACCAUAGGGAAACCAGCCAGGGAGAGACCUGGUGUCAUCUCCCUCAGCCAGUCAGUGGAUCUCUGCUAGAGAAACCAGCCAGGGAGAGACCUGGUGUCAUCUCCCCAGCCAGUCAGUGGAUCUCUGCUAGGGAAACCAGCCAGGGAGAGACCUGGUGUCCCCCACCCCCCGCCCCGCCCCAGCCAGUCAGUGGAUCUCUGCUAGGGAAACGAGACAGGGAGAGCCCUGGUAUCCCCCCCGCCCCUCCCCUAGAAUCUAGUGUGAUUAAAUGUUUUCGAACCUCUGGGGAACGACAGGAGAUGCCCCGGCGCCCGGCCCUGGCCACGGGACCCGAG